GACGAACGCUGGCGGCGUGCUUAACACAUGCAAGUCGAACGGAAAGGCCCUGCUUUUGUGGGGUGCUCGAUUGGCGAACGGGUGAGUAACACGUGAGUAACCUGCCCUUGACUUUGUGAUAACUUCAGGAAACUGGGGCUAAUACCGGAUAGGAUCUCCUGCUGCAUGGUGGGGGUUGGAAAGUUUCGGCGGUUGGGGAUGGACUCGCGGCUUAUCAGCUUGUUUGUGGGGUAGUGGCUUACCAAGGCUUUGACGGGUAGCCGGCCUGAGAGGGGGACCGGCCACAUUGGGACUGAGAUACGGACCAGACUCCUACGGGAGGCAGCAGUGGGGAAUAUUGCACAAUGGGCGGAAGCCUGAUGCAGCAACGCCGCGUGCGGGAUGACGGCCUUCGGGUUGUAAACCGCUUUCGCCUGUGACGAAGCGUGAGUGACGGUAAUGGGUAAAGAAGCACCGGCUAACUACGUG
rnacentral:rRNA from 1 species